rnacentral:rRNA from 1 species
UACGUAGGGUGCGAGCGUUAAUCGGAAUUACUGGGCGUAAAGGGUGCGCAGGCGGUCUCGUAAGCUGGGUGUGAAAGCCCCGGGCUUAACCUGGGAAUGGCAUUCAGGACUGCGAGGCUUUGAGUGUGGCAGAGGGAGGUGGAAUUCCACGUGUAGCGGUGAAAUGCGUAGAUAUCUGGAGGAACACCGGUGGCGAAGGCGGCAUCCUGGACCAACACUGACACUGGGGAGCGAAAGCCAGGGGAGCAAACGGG